CUCUUCUGAGUUGAUCUUUCUUGGAUAUGGGUGAUCAUAAGAAGACACCAUUUUCUAGUGAAAAUGUAAUUCUCUGGGAGGUGUUGGAAUGAGAGCUCUGAAGGACUAAGUCCUCUCACCAAGGAGCAGGUUUUUGCAAUGUUCAGCAGCGGAAUCUCUGAGUGAACGUUUUCUCCCCACAAAAUUUUAUUUGCCUGCUUCACAGUCCAGCGCUAGUGCUGUCAGGUACUACGUGCCAAAGGAAACACUGGAGGUAAAACUGACACCAUAUGAACUCCAAAAAAGCCAAGUUUAUCUGCACAGACAGCUACUCGCUGCUGAGUCUUCACCUUUCAGUGAAAUGACCAGAUGUCUCAGAAAGCCUGGAGCGAUGCUGGCAUCAGGAGACUUCGCCCCCAUCCUGAGUGACUGCCGACUGAGAUGCCAAUAUGUUCUGGCAUCGGACACCCAAACCUCAUAAGGAUCUCCUGUCUUCAGGCAUGCACUGUGGACAAUGCUGUGUGUGAGACACUUCAGAGCUGGUCAUGCUGGGGUUUAAAG